UACGAAGGGGGCUAGCGUUGUUCGGAAUCACUGGGCGUAAAGGGCGCGUAGGCGGCCGAUCAAGUCGGGGGUGAAAGCCUGUGGCUCAACCACAGAAUUGCCUUCGAUACUGGUUGGCUUGAGACCGGAAGAGGUAAGUGGAACUGCGAGUGUAGAGGUGAAAUUCGUAGAUAUUCGCAAGAACACCAGUGGCGAAGGCGGCUUACUGGUCCGGUUCUGACGCUGAGGCGCGAAAGCGUGGGGAGCAAACGGG
rnacentral:rRNA from 1 species